UGGGGUGAGGUUGAGAUGAGCCAACGUGCGGUCAUAAAGGCAAAAAACAUGAACAAACAUCAUGUCUUACAGAAUAUUAGACAUCUGAGAAGCAAAAUAUACAUGAAAAACAUUAUCUCAUUGGGGAGCCUGGGGUAAAAUGGGUAGAGCAGCAGAAAUUCCGCGAGAGAUGCUGAGGGCACUCGGCCCCAGAG